rnacentral:lncRNA from 1 species
CUGCUCUCCAUCCGACGCACGAGUGUGUGCCACGCACGCGGGCCCCCUCUGGACGGCGUGGAUUGCCGGACGCUUGACAAGCAGCUCAAUGUGGUGCAUGGUUUUUGGGAGAAACGGGACAGUGUGGUGAGGAGCCUCUUUCUCCUCUUUCUCCUCUCUCCUCUCCUCUCCUCCUCCAUCGCAUUAGGGAUUGCGCUAUCCCUUCCGCCGGGGCGCUGGCGCCAUGAAUCGCAGGCGCGUGGCUCCAGAUUUUGGAUACAAUGCAGGGGUGCGCCGCGAAUCCCAUCCAGAUUUGGGCAAGGCAAUGCGGUGGAUGAUCUUCAAGGCGAUCGAUCUAGCUCCAUUGGGAGCGGCGGCGAGGAUUUGAAGCAUCUGGAUCGCGUAUUAUGCCAGCAUCGAGCUCCGGCGCCGCGAAAUAUCACUGUGGAUAGGCAGAGUAGCUCAGGAUAGGGAUUUCGGGCAUCCGGCAUCAUGCCUCCCAGUAGAAGAAGCUCAUCGGCGUCCCUCCUCCAGCAGCGCGGCAAGGGAGGCACAAAGCCUACCGCCAUCACAAACUGGAUUCCCUGCCAGGCUGCAGUAACAUUCACCACAAAUAAGAUGAAAAACAUGCUGGAACAGACGCUUACGAAAGAGUGAACACGCCACUCCCGGUGUUCAGGUUUGUGAUCUUAUUGUUAUCCAGCUGGACAUUAACAAGGGAUGAAAUCAAUUGCUGAACAGACAUUUUAAUACUUGAUAGAGAUUUCGUCAG